rnacentral:rRNA from 1 species
UACGUAGGUGGCAAGCGUUGUCCGGAUUUACUGGGCGUAAAGAGCGCGCAGGCGGCUGGUCAAGUCCGAUGUGAAAUCUCCCGGCUUAACUGGGAAACUGCAUCGGAAACUGAUCGGCUUGAAGGUGGGAGAGGGUAGUGGAAUUCCCGGUGUAGUGGUGAAAUGCGUAGAUAUCGGGAGGAACACCGGUGGCGAAGGCGGCAUCCUGGACCGGCAUUGACGCUGAGGAGCGAAAGCCAGGGGAGCAAACGGG